AUUGAACGCUGGCGGAAUGCUUUACACAUGCAAGUCGAACGGCAGCAUAGGUGCUUGCACCUGAUGGCGAGUGGCGAACGGGUGAGUAAUACAUCGGAACGUGCCCAGUCGUGGGGGAUAACGUAGCGAAAGUUACGCUAAUACCGCAUACGAUCUAAGGAUGAAAGCGGGGGACCGUAAGGCCCCGCGCGAUUGGAGCGGCCAAUGUCAGAUUAGGUAGUUGGUGGGGUAAAGGCUCACCAAGCCGACGAUCUGUAGCUGGUCUGAGAGGACGACCAGCCACACUGGGACUGAGACACGGCCCAGACUCCUACGGGAGGCAGCAGUGGGGAAUUUUGGACAAUGGACGCAAGUCUGAUCCAGCCAUUCCGCGUGCAGGACGAAGGCCUUCGGGUUGUAAACUGCUUUUGUACGGAACGAAAAAGCUCUUACUAAUACUAGGAGUCCAUGACGGUACCGUAAGAAUAAGCACCGGCUAACUACGUGCCAGCAGCCGCCGUAA
rnacentral:rRNA from 1 species